AAUGGGUCAGCGACUUAUAUUCUGUAGCAAGGUUAACCGAAUAGGGGAGCCGAAGGGAAACCGAGUCUUAACUGGGCGUUAAGUUGCAGGGUAUAGACCCGAAACCCGGUGAUCUAGCCAUGGGCAGGUUGAAGGUUGGGUAACACUAACUGGAGGACCGAACCGACUAAUGUUGAAAAAUUAGCGGAUGACUUGUGGCUGGGGGUGAAAGGCCAAUCAAACCGGGAGAUAGCUGGUUCUCCCCGAAAGCUAUUUAGGUAGCGCCUCGUGAAUUCAUCUCCGGGGGUAGAGCACUGUUUCGGCAAGGGGGUCAUCCCGACUUACCAACCCGAUGCAAACUGCGAAUACCGGAGAAUGUUAUCACGGGAGACACACGGCGGGUGCUAACGUCCGUCGUGAAGAGGGAAACAACCCAGACCGCCAGCUAAGGUCCCAAAGUCAUGGUUAAGUGGGAAACGAUGUGGGAAGGCCCAGACAGCCAGGAUGUUGGCUUAGAAGCAGCCAUCAUUUAAAGAAAGCGUAAUAGCUCACUGGUCGAGUCGGCCUGCGCGGAAGAUGUAACGGGGCUAAACCAUGCACCGAAGCUGCGGCAGCGACACUAUGUGUUGUUGGGUAGGGGAGCGU
rnacentral:rRNA from 1 species